UACCUGGUUGAUCCUGCCAGUAGUCAUAUGCUUGUCUCAAAGAUUAAGCCAUGCAAGUCUAAGUACGAGCUCUCGUACAGUGAAACUGCGAAUGGCUCAUUAAAUCAGUUAUGGUUCAUUUGAUCGUACAGUUUACUUGGAUAACUGUGGUAAUUCUAGAGCUAAUACAUGCGAGAAGCGCCGACCUCGCGGGAGGCGUGCAUUUAUCAGACCAAAAACCGGCCGCGUCUUCGGGCGCGUUCGCCUUGGUG
rfam:Ciona savignyi cont_45716, whole genome shotgun sequence.